rnacentral:rRNA from 1 species
GACGAACGCUGGCGGCGUGCUUAACACAUGCAAGUCGAACGGAAAGGCCCUGCUUUUGUGGGGUGCUCGAGUGGCGAACGGGUGAGUAACACGUGAGUAACCUGCCCUUGACUUUGGGAUAACUUCAGGAAACUGGGGCUAAUACCGGAUAGGAGCUCCUGCUGCAUGGUGGGGGUUGGAAAGUUUCGGCGGUUGGGGAUGGACUCGCGGCUUAUCAGCUUGUUGGUGGGGUAGUGGCUUACCAAGGCUUUGACGGGUAGCCGGCCUGAGAGGGUGACCGGCCGAAAUGGGAGGAAGACACGGCGCGGGAGCCUACGGGAGGCAGCAGAGGAGAAUAUGAUGCAGUGGGCGGGAGCCUGGUGCGACAACGCGACGUGGGGGAAGACGGGGGUCGGGUUAGAAAACGAUGUCGCCUGUGACGAGGCAUAAGUGACGGUAAGGAGUAAGGAAGCAGCGGCUAACUUAAUG